AUAGAGAUCAGUGGAAAACAAUGGGAGCGCGGUGCUUAAUGGGAAUGCGAUAGAAUCUGAAGCGACUCGGAAAUCCCGCAUCCAAGAUGGCGUCCAUUGUAAAUUGUAUUAUUAAAUGGCCGAGAUAAUGCAAAUAGGGAGGAUUUUUCAAGGUCGUUAUGUAUGACGAGGAAACGUUAAAAUAUAUUUCCUGUUUAUUGAAGAAGGGUACGAAGGUAUGUUCAUUUACAUUUUACAUAUUUUACGCUCAAAAAUGUAUCAAUUGUCGCAAUUUAUUAAUAUAUGUGCAUAUUUAAAAAUAUCGAUCUUGUUUUGACUGUUGUAGAGUGUAGACAUUGGCAAGUAGUUCUUGGUUCGACGUUUCUGGAGAAGGAACGUUAUUUCCAUAUUUGCCCAAGAUCCGAAAGAAGUUGCCAAAAUAUACGGAAUGUUUCUUUUGCACUCUGUCAAACUAAAGACAUACGCUGAUCAAAAUAUUUCCCUGUCGAAUCUCAGGUAAAAUAUUGUUAAAUUAAUUUCUAUUAAUCAAUAAUUUUAUAGCCUUUGCACCAUGUGCAAGUAGCAAGGUUAAGGAUGCCACCUUGAAUAUAUUGUUAAUUGUUUUCACCAUUGUGUUUGCAUAAUUGCACCCCUUGCAAAUAAGCAAAUUUACCUAUUAAAUAUAAGGAAUUUUAUUGUUUGCACCCCUUGCAGGAAGGGUCUAUGCCAAGUCUAUUGUUUUCAGUUUUUGAGGCUUAACACCAUACUGACUUGGUUUUAUUAAUGCAAUUUUCAAAACAAACCCUUGUGCACUUACUUAGCAAUCAGCUGUAUCAGCAUCAGGUUUGAGUGAUUCAAACAGUGAUAGUACCUUAAAAAAGGCUUGCUAUACAUGGGGAUAUCCCUCUUAUCAGGCAAAGCCAGCUUUCACAGAAACAUCCCCCAUGUUUGAACCCCUUUUAGCAUACUGUUCUUAUUAAUAAUUUCAUUGGGGAAAAAAACAUAGGUGUGUGGGGCCUAGCCAGGUGCCAGUUAGAUCAUGUAUCAAGGUUGUCAGAACUCAGAAGUGGGGGGGGGGCAGCAUAAGCCCCCCCCAUCUUCCAUUUGUAUGAGCAAACACACUGAAAAGUGCAAAAGCAAUUCAAAUUUAUUCUUGAGACCCCAUCCCAAUAUUGAUUUACUUCCGACAGCCUUGUGUAUAUACAUGUAAUAAGUUUUCAAAAAUAUCAGAUUUUCUAAGAAGAUCUUUUCUUGUAGGCUACUAAAGAAAACAAGAAAUGAAACAAGAUGGAAUGAAUAUUUAUUAAAUUACAGAUUUUGAUACAAAUUUAAUUAUGAUACAAAUUUAUCUAUUGUCUGAAUAUUAUAAAAAGUACUCAGGCCAAAUAAAAAUAAUAGUUGGCUUCAGGUUUCUGACCGACGUGUCAAAAAUAUGACCGGCCAUAAACAUAUUAUUGACAUUUCCCAAGUAGGGAUCAUCUUUUCGUAAAUAUCAGAAUAUAUAAAUAGUCAUCAGAGUCAUUUGCUACAAAGUAUUUUGUUUGCUCAUAAUUUAAUCAUUAUCUAGUCAUGUUAAUCCUUGACGCAUUUGUUUCUCGCAAAACAUGUGUAGCUCCCGGUUGAUCCCGUGUGGCACGUCUGAUUAUGUGUUUUUAAAUAAAAUGCUUUUCCAACGUACCUACCCAUAUAAAACAUGGCUGUGAAACCUGAAACCAACUAUUAUGUUUAUUUGGCCUCAGUAAUAUAAGUACAAAAUAUGUACAAAAUGCUCUACAAUGUACAGACAUAUGUCACCAUUUAUUAUAAUCAUAUCUUCAAGGAACUUGUAAACAUAAUAUUGCAGAGAUCUGUAAAAAAAUGCUUUCAUUGUUAAUUCAGAGCAGGCACAGAUUUUCUGUGUGUGUGUGUGUGGGGGGGGGGGUGCGCACCCUCCCAGAAAUGAUUUGCACCUCCCAAAGGCAUUUGGCACCCCUGCAAAUUACAUAUAUUUCGAUUUGAUAGUUUCAUAUUUGAUUAUUCUUACUACUAAAUUUGUAAAAUUACCAAUAUUAUGGUCUCAGAUCUCGCCAUGCAGGCCUAGAAAAAAUUUUGUUAAACUUUUUCCUUGGCCUUUCUGGGUGUUGCCACCAUGCCCUGGACAAAGCAAGCAGCAGCACCCUCCCCAGAUAUUAUCCACCCCCUGAACGAAAAUAUGAAAAUCUGUCUCUGACUCGGAGGGAAAGAAGUAUUAUUUUGUGUAGUAGUGGGAUGGAUUCACUUGGGGGUAUUGGGGGAGGGGAUUCUGUGUGAAAUCCUUGGCAAUUAUCAAACAAAAUAAUAAAGGGAUGGAUUAAUUAACAUUGUUUUUUUAAGAUUUUAUAUUAUUAAGCUUUGUUAGUUCGGCCCUUACGAUAACUCCAUCACGGCUCAGCGUUUACUUUCAAUAUGAUGAUCUUGAGUAUGU